ensembl:lncRNA
UUUUUUUGUUUUGUUUUGUUGUUGUGGCUUUUUUUUAUGAUUAUGGCUUCUUUAAAGCUUUUCCAGAAGCUCCAGAUGAGUUCUGCAUCCCAGCUGCAGAGCAUCCCAGCUGCCUGUGGCUAAAAACCAGGGUGAGGAGGUGCAGGGGCUGUGCAGCAGCAGUGCUCCAUAGGUUGUGCCCUGCAGCCACAGAGCGGGUGCAUGCCGGGACAGCCAAAAACUCAGGGGCAAGGUGAACAAUCUCAGCCUGGUCCUGCUGCCCAGCGGGCACGGUGGGGAGGCUUUGGCUGGGGUGACAUGGUGCUUCAUGCGAUACCUAACGGGCGCAAUAUGGCCUAUUGUAGGCAAAAAGAAUCACAAAAAAUAAAAAAAAAAAAAAUCAAAAUGAUAUUUAAGGGCUACUAAUCCCGCCGACAGCUCAGAGCUCUGCGGGAAGGGCACCAGCAUCUCCGCCUGCGGGCAGGGCAGCAUCCCGGAACUGCCCCGUCACAAUGGGGGGACUCUGAGCACUCCGGGUGCCCCCAGUGCCUCGCACCCAUGUGCGUUGGCACCUUACUGCACCUUACUGCAGGUCUGGAGCCCCCUGUUCCUGCUGUUUCCUACCUGGAGCACCUGCUGUCCCUGCUGGCUAUUUCCUACCACUGUCUUCUUGCUGGGUGAAAGCUUUUUGCAAACCACAGUUUUUCACCUCACUCUGGGUAUCCCCUCUGUCUGCAAAAUGACGAUGAGAAAUUUAGAUUUGCUUUCCAAUGGGUGAGUUGGUUUCUGUGCAGGCACUUUGCAGAGGCAGGGAGCAGCGCUAUUUCUAAGAGAAAGUAUUAGUCACACAAGUAGGCAAAUGAAAAACCAAAGCUCAACCCUUGCUUUCCAUCAGCAGGUGGAAAUAAGCCCUCCUGCUUUCCAUCUGACAGAGCUCCUUAGUGCACAGCCAGGUGUCCCCGUACCCGAGUGCGUUGCUCAAUGGCAAACUUUUGGUCUUGCCUCCAAAAAAUGAUUUUGCAAGGAGAUCUUGUCCCAUAGCCUUAAGUAACUUCUUAAGGCCUUUUUGUUGAGUAUCCAGAGUCAACAAAGCACUCCUACGGGGACUUGUGCUGAAGCACUCCACAAAUUCCCAUAACGUCCUUUUGCUCAGAGCCCCCCCAGAUUGCCCCGUCUUUGGAGGCAGCUUGCUGCCACCUCUGACUACUCACAAGUUGUUGGCUGGGCACCCAGGGAACGCAGCAGGAAACCCUUAUGGUUGUGAUGGAGUGACCAUGACAUUAUGGCGCAUGGCUGGGGAAUGCAUUUCAACACUUUCUUCUUAAGGGUGCCUGUGAGGUCUCACUGCUGGUGGUGACAAACGCCCUCUCUCCAUCUCUGUGUUCAUUGGGCUCCACUGGUUGGGUUUCUCUGAAGCCAGCACUCACUUCUACCUGGUUUUUGUUUCCAACCCACAAAAACAGCACCUGAACAAGCAAUAUACGUGGUAACGUGGAAAUCAUUACAGUUAUUCCAUGCAAAAUCCUAAAGAAUUUGAUCUAGCCCUGUUCUGUGUUCUUGCAGUAUCACUGCUUACGUGGGUUCAUCAUGUGCUUCUCUUUUUUUCUUUCUUUUUCCCCCGUAUUUUCAUCUGUUGCACAGUAUUUACAAAUAAAACCAUAUUGUAAAUUAUUUACAAAAAAAAAGAAAAUAAAAAAAAAUAAAAAUAAAUCAGUCCUGAUGGCAUAAGACCAAUCUGUUUUCAUUACUGAGAUAUGAUGGCACUUACGAUCACUUUAGUAAAUGUAAUGUAAAAAUAAUAAUAAUAAUAAUAAUAAUGAUAAUAAUAAUGUGUACGCAAAUUUAAUAUACAUGGUCUCAUGUAAGAUAAAUAUUUGCCUUUUUUUCUAAAAGGUGUAUGUAUUCUGUAAGUGGAAUAGUCUGUAGAAAGUUUCUAUAUGUUCUUAAAAUGGCAAUACAUUCCAAAAAGGUACUGUAAAUAUGUACAGCGUACAAUGUAAUUUGGUAGUUUUGCCUGUAAGUUUAUUUUAACUCCAGUUUCUACACUUGCAUCUUGCAAUGUCUGUAUGGUUAUAUCAGUGCAAAAAAAAACAAACAAAAAACAAAAAAAAAAUGCAGGUAAAAGCACAGUCUGAUGUAUAAAAAAAGAGGAAAAAAAAGACAAGAAAAACAAAAACAAAAAAACAACAAAAACAAAAAAAAAGAUAAAAAGAAGAAGAAAAAAUACUCAGUAUUUGAUGUUUGUGACUCUUAUUGUAAAUGACAUCUGUACUGUGAAUGAGAAGUUUUUACAAGUAUAAUAUUGCCUUUACUACAGCUCAGAUUGUCUGCUCAGUCUGAGCAUAUUUUUAAAAAAAUAGCAUGUUGGAAUAAAUUUU